UCCAACCCCUGUGACUACCUUAAUGUUGCCUCGGCGGAUCAGCCCGCGCCCCGUAAAACGGGACGGCCCGCCAGAGGACCCAAACUCUAAUGUUUCUUAUUGUAACUUCUGAGUAAAACAAACAAAUAAAUCAAAACUUUCAACAACGGAUCUCUUGGUUCUGGCAUCGAUGAAGAACGCAGCAAAAUGCGAUAAGUAAUGUGAAUUGCAGAAUUCAGUGAAUCAUCGAAUCUUUGAACGCACAUUGCGCCCGCUGGUAUUCCGGCGGGCAUGCCUGUUCGAGCGUCAUUUCAACCCUCAAGCCCCCGGGUUUGGUGUUGGGGAUCGGCUCUGCCCUUCUGGGCGGUGCCGCCCCCGAAAUACAUUGGCGGUCUCGCUGCAGCCUCCAUUGCGUAGUAGCUAACACCUCGCAACUGGAACGCGGCGCGGCCAUGCCGUAAAACCCCAACUUCUGAAUGUUGACCUCGGAUCAGGUAGGAAUACCCGCUGAACUUAA
rnacentral:rRNA from 1 species